GACGAACGCUGGCGGCGUGCUUAACGCAUGCAAGUCGAACGGAAAGGCCCUGCUUUUGUGGGGUGCUCGAGUGGCGAACGGGUGAGUAACACGUGAGUAACCUGCCCUUGACUUUGGGAUAACUUCAGGAAACUGGGGCUAAUACCGGAUAGGAGCUCCUGCUGCAUGGUGGGGGUUGGAAAGUUUCGGCGGUUGGGGAUGGACUCGCGGCUUAUCAGCUUGUUGGUGGGGUAGUGGCUUACCAAGGCUUUGACGGGUAGCCGGCCUGAGAGGGUGACCGGCCACAUUGGGACUGAGAUACGGCCCAGACUCCUACGGGAGGCAGCAGUGGGGAAUAUUGCACAAUGGGCGGAAGCCUGAUGCAGCAACGCCGCGUGCGGGAUGACGGCCUUCGAGUGGUAAACCGCUUUCGCCUGUGACGAAGCGUGAGUGACGGUAAUGGGGAAAGAAGCACCGGCUAACUACGU
rnacentral:rRNA from 1 species